rnacentral:rRNA from 17 species
AUAAUUGGUGGAACAUAUAGCUUAAUUCGUCGGUACGCGCAAAACCUUACCAUUUUUUGAAUUCUUAGACAAGUGUUGCAUGGCUGUCGUCAGCUCGUGUUUUGAAAUGUUUGGUUAAGUCCCUUAACGAGCGAAACCCUUGUUUUUUAUUUUAAA